GCUAGUGGGGGAGAAGUUUCAGUGCAUUCCGUUGAUGUAGACGGCGUGAAAACGGAAACAAGAAGUAUGCCGUCUCACUGUACUGCAUACAGUUACACACUACGUCGUACGAUUGAGACAAGGAAACUUGGAAUGACUUUUCAUAGGUUUCCCAGAGACUAUGGGUUGAGGAGGAAUUGGAAGUUUGUCGGCUUAGACCUGGUGUCAUUCCAUCAGUGUUUAACUUCCCGGCUCAUCUUGGAAGAGUACGUGCCAGAAAGACCACGACCAAGCAGCCUUGAGAUCUUAGGCAGCGUCUCCCUCAGACCAAAGAACUACAGAUUCUUCACAACCUGCUCAAACUCUUGGUACAGGACCUCACCACACGGGUCAAGAAGGUUUCCAUCUCAUUUCUACUCUGAAGAUCACCUUCUCCUGCUCAAACUGCUGACAAAUGUCUCUGCUGCUCUAAAGUCUGGUCUCCAGAACUUCCUAAAAACUCUCAAAG
ensembl:lncRNA